rnacentral:rRNA from 1 species
CAAUAGCGUAUAUUAAAGUUGUUGCGGUUAAAAAGUUCGUAGUUGGAUUUCUGCCAAGGACGACCGGUCCGCCCUCUGGGUGAGUAUCUGGCUUGGCCUGGGCAUCUUCUUGGAGAACGUUGCCGCACUUCACUGUGUGGCGCGGUACCCAGGACCUUUACUUUGAGGAAAUUAGAGUGUUUCAAGCAGGCUUUCGCCUUGAAUACAUUAGCAUGGAAUAAUAAGAUAGGACCUCGGUUCUAUUUUGUUGGUUUCUAGAGCUGGGGUAAUGAUUAAUAGGGAUAGUUGGGGGCAUUAGUACUUAACUGUCAGAGGUGAAAUUCUCGGAUUUGUUAAAGACUAACUUAUGCGAAAGCAUUUGCCAAGGAUGUUUUCAUUAA